GACGAAGGGGGCUAGCGUUGUUCGGAAUUACUGGGCGUAAAGCGCGUGUAGGCGGUUGCCCAAGUCGGGUGUGAAAGCCUUGAGCUCAACUCAAGAAAUGCACUCGGUACUGGGUGACUAGAGGACCGGAGAGGAUAGUGGAAUUCCCAGUGUAGUGGUGAAAUUCGUAGAUAUUAGGAAGAACACCGGUGGCGAAGGCGGCCCACUGGUCCGGUACUGACGCUGAGGUGCGAAAGCGUGGGGAGCAAACAGG
rnacentral:rRNA from 1 species